rnacentral:rRNA from 1 species
CUACGGGAGGCAGCAGUGGGGAAUUUUCCGCAAUGGGCGAAAGCCUGACGGAGCAAUACCGCGUGAGGGACGAAGGCCUGUGGGUUGUAAACCUCUUUUGUUAGGGAAGAUAAUGACGGUACCUAACGAAUAAGCAUCGGCUAACUCCGUGCCAGCAGCCGCGGUAAGACGGAGGAUGCAAGCGUUAUCCGGAAUUAUUGGGCGUAAAGCGUACGUAGGCUGCUAAUUAAGUCUGUUGUCAAAGCGCGAGGCUCAACCUUGUAAAGGCAAUGGAAACUGAAUAGCUAGAGAGAGAUAGGGGCAGGAGGAAUUCCAGGUGUAGCGGUGAAAUGCGUAGAUAUCUGGAAGAACACCAGUGGCGAAAGCGUCCUGCUGGAUCUCAACUGACGCUGAAGUACGAAAGCUAGGGGAGCGAAUGGGAUUAGAUACCCGCGUAGUCCG